CUUCCCACCGUCUAAAUCGCCAUAUAAUCUGAUGGAUGGGGUCCUCGCGCGGUUCAGCUCCUGGGCGACAGCGUAACCCGUCGCUCCUCCCUCUGCGGGAGGGCGUGGACGGGGCACGGGAUUUGGAGCAUGGAAGGAAUCGGGACCUAAAGGUUGGGAAGGGCUCGCGGACCGGAAGCGGGGGAGGUGACGUAGGAGUGCUGGCGUGGCCGGGCCAUUUCCAAAGAGGCAUUAAAGGAGCAACUGAUAGGCGUCCUAAGAGUCCCAGGACACCGGAACCAGGACUCCCCGGCGCACCCGGAGAGUUUCCGAGCUCCUUUGAAGUAUGAAUCAGAACUUCUGGAUGGGAAUCCUGGAGCCACCACUUGCCCUAUGGUCGCAAUGGGCAAGUCGCUCAACCUCCCAGAUCCUGUUUUCUCAUGAGUAAAACGGGGAUUAUAAUACCCACCUGACAAUAUUAUUUUUGUGAGAAUUAAAUGAGUUUAGAAUGUAAACACGCUUUGUAAAGUAAUUGGCAGUUGGGAUUAGUGUGCCCUUUCUCCCGGAGCCUUGCAUCCUGUGCAUUUGCUCAGGUGCUGUUCCUUCUCUGAGCAACUAAUUAAAGGUCCCUAACCCGAUGUAACCAAC
rnacentral:lncRNA from 1 species